GGUGAAGUCAUUGAUGCCAUGCUUCCAGGAAAAGCCUCUAAGCUUCAGAUUGUAAGGAAUCGUACCCCAAACCGACACAGGUGGUCGGGUAGAGAAUACCAAGGCGCUUGAGAGAACUCGGGUGAAGGAACUAGGCAAAAUGGUACCGUAACUUCGGGAGAAGGUACGCUCUCGACGGUGAAGUCCCUCGCGGAUGGAGCUAUUGAGAGUCGCAGAUACCAGGUGGCUGCAACUGUUUAUUAAAAACACAGCACUGUGCAAAAUCGUAAGAUGACGUAUACGGUGUGACGCCUGCCCGGUGCCGGAAGGUUAAUUGAUGGGGUUAGACUUCGGUCGAAGCUCUUGAUCGAAGCCCCGGUAAACGGCGGCCGUAACUAUAACGGUCCUAAGGUAGCGAAAUUCCUUGUCGGGUAAGUUCCGACCUGCACGAAUGGCGUAAUGAUGGCCACGCUGUCUCCACCCGAGACUCAGUGAAAUUGAAAUCGCUGUGAAGAUGCAGUGUACCCGCGGCUAGACGGAAAGACCCCGUGAACCUUUACUACAGCUUGGCACUGAACAUUGACCCUACAUGUGUAGGAUAGGUGGGAGGCUUUGAAGCACGUACGCCAGUAUGUGUGGAGCCGUCCUUGAAAUACCACCCUUGUAGUGUUGAUGUUCUAACGUCGACCCCUAAUCGGGGUUGCGGACAGUGCCUGGUGGGUAGUUUGACUGGGGCGGUCUCCUCCCAAAGAGUAACGGAGGAGCACGAAGGUGGGCUAAUCACGGUUGGACAUCGUGAGGUUAGUGCAAUGGCAUAAGCCCGCUUGACUGCGAGAAUGACAAUUCGAGCAGGUGCGAAAGCAGGUCAUAGUGAUCCGGUGGUUCUGAAUGGAAGGGCCAUCGCUCAACGGAUAAAAGGUACUCCGGGGAUAACAGGCUGAUACCGCCCAAGAGUUCAUAUCGACGGCGGUGUUUGGCACCUCGAUGUCGGCUCAUCACAUCCUGGGGCUGAAGUCGGUCCCAAGGGUAUGGCUGUUCGCCAUUUAAAGUGGUACGCGAGCUGGGUUUAGAACGUCGUGAGACAGUUCGGUCCCUAUCUGCCGUGGGCGUUGGAAGAUUGAAGGGGGCUGCUCCUAGUACGAGAGGACCGGAGUGGACGAACCUCUGGUGUUCGGGUUGUGUCGCCAGACGCAUUGCCCGGUAGCUAAGUUCGGAAUCGAUAACCGCUGAAAGCAUCUAAGCGGGAAGCGAGCCCUGAGAUGAGUCUUCCCUGAUACUUUAAGUAUCCUAAAGGGUUGUCGGAGACUACGACGUUGAUAGGUCAGGUGUGUAAGUGCUGUGAGGCAUUGAGCUAACUGAUACUAAUUGCCCGUGAGGCUUAACCAUACAACACCCAAGGGGUUU
rnacentral:rRNA from 1 species